rnacentral:rRNA from 1 species
GAAUUGACGGGGGCCCGCACAAGCAGUGGAGUAUGUGGUUUAAUUCGAAGCAACGCGAAGAACCUUACCAGGGCUUGACAUCCCUCUGACAGCUCUAGAGAUAGGGCUUCUCUUCGGAGCAGAGGAGACAGGUGGUGCAUGGUUGUCGUCAGCUCGUGUCGUGAGAUGUUGGGUUAAGUCCCGCAACGAGCGCAACCCUUGUCAUUAGUUGCCAGCACGUUAUGGUGGGCACUCUAACGAGACUGCCGGUGACAAAUCGGAGGAAGGUGGGGACGACGUCAAAUCAUCAUGCCCCUUAUGUCCUGGGCUACACACGUACUACAAUGGCAACUACAGAGGGCAGCAAAGCCGUGAGGCAGAGCCAAUCCCCAAAAGUCGUCCCAGUUCGGAUUGCAGGCUGCAACCCGCCUGCAUGAAGUCGGAAUUGCUAGUAAUGGCAGGUCAGCAUACUGCCGUGAAUACGUUCCCGGGCCUUGUACACACCG